AAAAAGGCAAACCCUGAAUUUUCGUGUCCAACUUUGACUGUCCGUCUCAUAUGAAAUUUUUUUAUAAUUCGUAUUUUCAUUGUUGUUAGAUGAUAAAACAUGAUUAAUAUUUUAUGCGUGACUUGUCUUUUUAAUUUUUUUCAUAAUUUUUUCAAAUAAGACGGACGGUCAAACGUUAGACACGGCAACCCGGGUUUGUCUUUUUU
rfam:Oryza sativa Japonica Group DNA, chromosome 3, cultivar: Nipponbare, complete sequence.